AUCUGCAGGCAGAACCUAGGAGGGAGAGAGACACUCCAGGCCUAAGGGCAGUCAGAGAGAAUGCCCAGAGCCAAGAGAUGGAAAGUCUUGUUCAUUGAAAGAGCCAAGAGGUCAAUGUUACUAGAUCUAAGAGUCUGUGGUGGGGAGUAGAAUACAAGUAUGUUUCAAAGGUAGGAGGGGGGUAGGUUAUAAAGGGCUUGUUAACAGAAUUGAGAUUAUAGAGGGCCUGGAGAAGUUAAAAAUUAAAUGGUUCAUCCUCUCAGAGGAGUUGGACCCAAGCUUAUUCCUGGCUUGAGAAAGAAGAUGGACGGGAUAUUUGCCAUACAUACUGCUGGAGCUUGCAAUGUCUUGGGGAAAGACCAUUGCACUAGAAAUAACAUACCAAUGAUGGCUAACAAAGAGCCAUUGCCCAAGAUAAGAAAGAAGAUCAUAAGAAAGCCCCUAGCUUCCCCAGUGAAUUCAAAUGCAAGGGAAUUGCAAGAGAAGAAGCAUGCAGAACUAAGAGAACAUCAUACACAGUAUCAACAACAUUGUGUGAUGAUCAACUGUUGGAGACU